rnacentral:siRNA from 1 species
AAGUCUCACUCAGGCUACGAUG